UACGUAGGCAGCAAGCGUUGUUCGGAGUUACUGGGCGUAAAGGGUGUGUAGGCGGUUGGAUAAGUGUGGUGUGAAAUCUCCCGGCUCAACUGGGAGGGUGCGCUACAAACUGUCUGACUAGAGUGUGGGAUGGGUAAGUGGAAUUCCUGGUGUAGCGGUGAAAUGCGCAGAUAUCAGGAGGAACACCAAUGGCGAAGGCAGCACUCUGGGACGUGACUGACGCUGAGACGCGAAAGCGUGGGGAGCAAACAGG
rnacentral:rRNA from 1 species